rnacentral:rRNA from 1 species
UACGUAGGGUGCAAGCGUUGUCCGGAAUCAUUGGGCGUAAAGCGCGCGUAGGUGGCUUUGUAAGUCCGUUGUGAAAGUCAAAGGCUCAACCUUUGAAUGCCGAUGGAUACUGCGGAGCUAGAGUACGGAAGAGGCGAGUGGAAUUCCUGGUGUAGCGGUGGAAUGCGCAGAUAUCAGGAGGAACACCAAUAGCGAAGGCAGCUCGCUGGGACGUUACUGACACUAAGGCGCGAAAGCGUGGGGAGCGAACAGG